CAGGGAGGUCGGCAACGACCACCCAGGGCCGGAAAGUUAUCCAAACUCGGUCAUUUAGAGGAAGUAAAAGUCGUAACAAGGUCUCCGUUGGUGAACCAGCGG
rnacentral:rRNA from 1 species